UACGUAGGGACCAAGCGUUGUUCGGAUUUACUGGGCGUACAGGGCGCGUAGGCGGCAAUUCAAGUCAUCUGUGAAAUCUCCGGGCUUAACCCGGAACGGUCAGGUGAUACUGUUUUGCUAGAGUGCGGAAGGGGCAAUCGGAAUUCUCGGUGUAGCGGUGAAAUGCGUAGAUAUCGAGAGGAACACCAGAGGUGAAGACGGGUUGCUGGGCCGACACUGACGCUGACAGCGCGAAAGCCAGGGGAGCAAACGGG
rnacentral:rRNA from 1 species